CCUACGGGGGGCUGCAGUGGGGAAUAUUGCACAAUGGGCGCAAGCCUGAUGCAGCCAUGCCGCGUGUGUGAAGAAGGCCUUCGGGUUGUAAAGCACUUUCAGCGGGGAGGAAGGCGUUAAGGUUAAUAACCUUGUCGAUUGACGUUACCCGCAGAAGAAGCACCGGCUAACUCCGUGCCAGCAGCCGCGGUAAUACGGAGGGUGCAAGCGUUAAUCGGAAUUACUGGGCGUAAAGCACACGCAGGCGGUCUGUCAAGUCGGAUGUGAAAUCCCCGGGCUCAACCUGGGAACUGCAUUCGAAACUGGCAGGCUAGAGUCUUGUAGAGGGGGGUAGAAUUCCAGGUGUAGCGGUGAAAUGCGUAGAGAUCUGGAGGAAUACCGGUGGCGAAGGCGGCCCCCUGGACAAAGACUGACGCUCAGGUGCGAAAGCGUGGGGAGCAAACAGGAUUAGAUACCCUAGUAGUC
rnacentral:rRNA from 1 species